AACGAACGCUGGCGGCAGGCCUAACACAUGCAAGUCGAGCGCCCGGAUUUAUCCGGGAGCGGCGCACGGGUGAGUAACGCGUGGGAACAUGCCCUGAAGUACGGAACAACCUGGGGAAACCUUGGCUAAUACCGUAUACGCCCUGAGGGGGAAAGACUUAUCGCUUUGGGAUUGGCCCGCGUUGGAUUAGCUGGUUGGUGUGGUAACGGCGCACCAAGGCGACGAUCCAUAACUGGUCUGAGAGGAUGACCAGUCACACUGGGACUGAGACACGGCCCAGACUCCUACGGGAGGCAGCAGUGGGGAAUAUUGGACAAUGGGCGAAAGCCUGAUCCAGCCAUGCCGCGUGAGUGAAGAAGGCCUUCGGGUUGUAAAGCUCUUUCAGCGGGGACGAUGAUGACGGCACCCGCAGAAGAAGCCCCGGCUAACUUCGUGCCAGCAGCCGCGGUAA
rnacentral:rRNA from 1 species